rnacentral:rRNA from 1 species
CAGCAGCAGCCGCGGGAAUACGGAGGGUGCAAGCGUUAAUCGGAAUUACUGGGCGUAAAGCGCACGCAGGCGGUCUGACAAGUCAGAUGUGAAAUCCCCGGGCUUAACCUGGGAACUGCAUUUGAAACUGUCAGGCUGGAGUCUUGUAGAGGGGGGUGGAAUUCCAGGUGUAGCGGUGAAAUGCGUAGAGAUCUGGAGGAAUACCGGUGGCGAAGGCGGCCCCCUGGACAAAGACUGACGCUCAGGUGCGAAAGCGUGGGGAGCAAACAGGAUUAGAUACCCCAGUAGUCCCUGUCUCUUAUAA